UUGAAUGAACUUGGUGUGGUUGUUGCUGGCCCUUUUGGGGGCAUGUGCACACCCACCAUCCUCAUCUCUCCACCUGUGCACCUCUUGUAGACUUGGGGAUAGAUUUUCCGAGGCAACUCGGUCUGGAGGAAUGCUACCAAGCUUUCUUUGUAUUUAUUUCCUGGUCUAUGUUUUUUUCAUAUACCCCUUAGCAUGUAACAGAAUGAAUGAUUUGGGCCUUUGUGCCCAUAAACCCUUAUA
rnacentral:misc_RNA from 1 species